rnacentral:snoRNA from 1 species
UUUCAGACUGGGAAGCUGAGGACAGAACAAAAAGGGUGGGACUGCUGUGCAAUGGCUGCAGACAGCAGCCACCUCAGUCGUGUCCUCAGCCGGUUGCCCUAAGGGACCUUGGAGACAGCC